UACGAAAGGUGCGAGCGUUAAUCGGAAUUACUGGGCGUAAAGCGCGCGUAGGCGGUUUGUUAAGUCAGAUGUGAAAGCCCCGGGCUCAACCUGGGAAUUGCAUUUGAAACUGGCAGGCUAGAAUGCAGUAGAGGGAGGUGGAAUUUCCGGUGUAGCGGUGAAAUGCGUAGAGAUCGGAAGGAACACCAGUGGCGAAGGCGGCCUCCUGGACUGACAUUGACGCUGAGGUGCGAAAGCUAGGGGAGCAAAAGGG
rnacentral:rRNA from 1 species